rnacentral:rRNA from 1 species
GACGAACGCUGGCGGCGUGCUUAACACAUGCCAGUCGAACGGAAAGGCCCUGCUUUUGUGGGGUGCUCGAGUGGCGAACGGGUGAGUAACACGUGAGUAACCUGCCCUUGACUUUGGGAUAACUUCAGGAAACUGGGGCUAAUACCGGAUAGGAGCUCCUGCUGCAUGGUGGGGGUUGGAAAGUUUCGGCGGUUGGGGAUGGACUCGCGGCUUAUCAGCUUGUUGGUGGGGUAGUUGCUUACCAAGGCUUUGACGGGUAGCCGGCCUGAGAGGGUGACCGGCCACAUUGGGACUGAGAUACGGACCAGACUCCUACGGGAGGCAGCAGUGGGGAAUAUUGCACAAUGGGCGGAAGCCUGAUGCAGCAACGCCGCGUGCGGGAUGACGGCCUUCGGGUUGUAAACCGCUUUCGCCUGUGACGAAGCGUGAGUGACGGUAAUGGGUAAAGAAGCACCGGCUAACUACGUG